ACACGUAAGUUGCGAGCGUUGUUCGGAAUUAUUGGGCGUAAAGGGCAUGCAGGCGGCUGCGUAAGCCUGAUGUGAAAUGCCGGGGCUCCACCCCGGAACUGCAUUGGGAACUACGCGGCUAGAGUUACUGAGGGGCAGCCGGAAUUCCAGGCGUAGGGGUGAAAUCUGUAGAUAUCUGGAAGAACACCAAUGGCGAAGGCAGGCUGCCAGCAGAUAACUGACGCUGAGGUGCGAAGGUGCGGGGAGCGAACAGGAUUAGAUACCCUGGUAGUCCGCACAGUAAACGAUGUACACUAGGUGUCUGGCCAUGAGGCUGGGUGCCAAAGCAAACGUGGUAAGUGUACCGCCUGGGGAGUAUGCCCGCAAGGGUGAAACUCAAAGGAAUUGACGGGG
rnacentral:rRNA from 1 species